CUACGGGAUGCUGCAGUGGGGAAUAUUGCACAAUGGGCGCAAGCCUGAUGCAGCCAUGCCGCGUGUAUGAAGAAGGCCUUCGGGUUGUAAAGUACUUUCAGCGGGGAGGAAGGGAGUAAAGUUAAUACCUUUGCUCAUUGACGUUACCCGCAGAAGAAGCACCGGCAAACUCCGUGCCAGCAGCCGCGGUAAUACGGAGGGUGCAAGCGUUAAUCGGAAUUACUGGGCGUAAAGCGCACGCAGGCGGUUUGUUAAGUCAGAUGUGAAAUCCUCGGGCUCAACCUGGGAACUGCAUCUGAUACGGGCAAGAUUGAGUCUCGUAGAGGGGGGUAGAAUUCCAGGUGUAGCGGUGAAAUGCGUAGAGAUCUGGAGGAAUACCGGUGGCGAAGGCGGCCCCCUGGACGAAGACUGACGCUCAGGUGCGAAAGCGUGGGGAGCAAACAGGAUUAGAUACCCGAGUAGUC
rnacentral:rRNA from 1 species